UUUAAAGGGCCGCGGUAAUUUGACCGUGCGAAGGUAGCAUAGUCAGUAGUCUUUUAAUUGAAGGCUUGAAUGAAAGGUUGGACGAGGGAUAAGCUGUCUCCUGUGGCGUAACGUGAAUUUAACUUUUAAGUGAAAAGGCUUGAAUUAUUUAGUGGGACGAUAAGACCCUAUAAAACUUGAUAUAAGUUUAGCUUGAUUUGUGAUUUAGGUGAAAGACGAUUUUGUUUGGUUUAUAUUUCGUUGGGGAGAUGUAGAUAUAAUGUGUAACUGUCUAUUUAAUUUAAUAAAUAUAAUUAGUAUGUGAUCCUUCAUUUGUGGAUUGGAAGAAUAAGUUACUUUAGGGAUAACAGCGUGAUUUUCUUUGAGAGUUCUUAUCGACAAGAGUAGUUGCGACCUCGAUGUUGAAUUAAAAUUUCAGCUAGGUGUAGCCGUUUAGCUGGUGGGUCUGUUCGACCUUUAAAAU
rnacentral:rRNA from 1 species